rnacentral:lncRNA from 1 species
GAUCCUCCCCCGUCUCAUCCGCGCGCCGCCACCCACCUCGGGGUCCAACCCGAUCCAACCACACACAUCGCGCCGCACGAGUUCUUCCCUCCAUCCCUGAGCCUGUGACCUUCCCAGCCCGAGAGCAUGUGUCCCAUCUCCAUGCGAGCUCGGACGCGUCAAGCGCUCGGAUGAAGAGCCACUCCCGCGACAUCUCCUGCACGCUGGAGCUCCCUGACCAGCAGUGCCGCUGCGCCCGUACUGGCCGGCGACCAACCCACGCAUGCCCCGUCGCGCCCUUCUCUCUUCUUCCUCUCCUCUCACCUCCCCGUCUCUUCUUUCUCCUCCAGGAGGAGAACCAUGGCGCCCGAGAUUCAGGAAGGCCCAUCGUAGCGGGCCCUCGUCUUCAUCAAGAUCCAUCCGGAACUGGUCUGGAGCGGCCGAAUCUGUGUUGCCCCUUGCCUCUCCGCCAUUCGUGCCUCGCGUUGGAGCCUCUCCUUGGCCGAACACGGAGGAGCUGCUGCCUCGCCCGCUGUCAUGGCCGUCCCGAGUUCCCUAGCCGCCGGAGCCAUGCUACAAUACCGACCCCAUGCCCUGAUGCGCUCGAGCUCGAGCAAGGAGACGCUCCCAAGUCUAUCCCCUCCUUCUAGAGACCCUGCAUUGCGCCGGCACUGCCCUGCAUCUCCCGCCUGCCUCGUUUUCCCCUUGUAAGAAGCUCUGUCCGAUCUGAUUUUGUUGCCUUUUUUUUACUAGAUCCGUUGUGGACUGUUAGGUUUAUUAG